CGAGACGAAGUUGACGUCAUCGGCGCGUGCGCGUCGCUUCGGGACAGCACUGCAGGCAGAAGGCGAGUUCGCGAGUGUAUCGAUUUUACGAUCGUGCCUCUCUCGCGGUGCUAGUGCGUCCGUCGUUUCCUUUAGUUUUUUAGUGGCCGUGCACGUCGUACAUGGAUAAAACCGUGAAUGGGAUUACUCGCUAGACACGCCGCUCCGUACACCGCCCGCUGACUCGCAACUCCUCGUCACCCUUCACCAUGACCAAGGAUAGAUUAGCAGCCCUCGUCGCGGCCCAGUCGGAUGACGACGAUGUGGCGGACGAUGUGUCCGUCAACGUCGGGGCGCCGGAUGAUUUCAUGACGGAAUUUUUCGCGGAGGUGGAGGAGAUCCGCGAAAUGAUAGAUAGGAUCCAGACGAAUGUGGAAGAUGUGAAGAAAAAGCACAGCGCCAUUCUCUCCGCGCCGCAGACCGACGAAAAGGUGAAACUGGAACUCGAAGACCUGAUGUCCGAUAUCAAGAAAACUGCUAACAAAGUGAGGGCUAAAUUAAAGGUGAUAGAGCAGAACAUCGAGCAGGAGGAGCACACGAACAAAUCGUCGGCGGAUCUGAGGAUACGCAAGACCCAGCACUCGACGUUGUCCAGGAAGUUCGUCGAAGUGAUGACGGAGUACAAUCGGACACAGACCGAUUACAGGGAGCGGUGUAAGGGGAGAAUACAACGACAGCUCGAGAUCACGGGAAGAACGACCACCAACGAGGAGCUCGAGGAGAUGCUGGAACAAGGGAAUCCAGCCGUCUUCACGCAAGGGAUCAUCAUGGAAACGCAACAAGCAAAACAGACCCUUGCGGACAUCGAGGCGCGUCACGCUGACAUCAUUAAACUCGAAAACUCCAUCAGGGAGUUGCACGACAUGUUUAUGGACAUGGCUAUGUUGGUGGAGAGUCAGGGCGAAAUGGUGGACUGCAUUGAGUACUGCGUGAAUCAGACCGGCGACCACGUGGGCCAGGCUCGGGGCGAGCUGAUCAAAGCCGAAGAGUAUCAAAGCAAAGCUCGUAAGAAAUGUUUCCUGAUAGCGAUCUGCGUGACGAUAGCGGUCAUCAUUCUGAUUAUCAUUCUGGCCGCUAGUUUAAGUUAAUUUAAGUGCGCACGCGACAAUGCCGAGAAAAAAAAAAUUAACGUAUUGGCGGAUUGAGUAUAAGCGGGAAAACAAGGAAGAUACAGAACAAAAAUAUUUCUUGACAGAUACGAACACACGUAUCUGUCAUCUCUCGCUCUUGCCUCGUCCCUCCGUUUAAAGGGAAUGGGUCAGGAUCGUAACGGAGAUAGUCUUGAUCUUAUCGAUAUUGAUCUUCGUUUCGACGAGGAGAUAAUGCGGUACAUUUUGUGAGUUCUCGCGAGACAUCUCUCGUUAUACAUUUAUUUAUUAUCGAUUCUUAAAUAAAAUUCGUGCAGUUGUAUGUUUAUUUAUUGUUACUUGUAAAACGCACAUCGUCGAUUACGAUUUUACACAUGCAUACCGGUACUAAUUGUAAGCAAAUUAUCGACCACAUAUACUGAGUAUGACGGGUAAUUAGAAUCCUGCGGGUGUAGUAACUUCCCGGAAAAUGUUUCAUAAAUGUCGUAAUAUUGUAAACAAGUCAGAAACGGUGAGGGCAUACUGAGCUCGACUAUACAAAGCCAAGAAACAAUCACUUUAUGAACGGAGAUUCGUAUAAGGAGUUCCCUUCAUUGCGCUUCGGAUACAACGGAAGGUGUACGAUAUAAUAUAUUAUGUUAAUUUAAAAAAAACCGGUGCGAAAGUUUUGCAAAGCGGUAACUUUUAACAUUCUCAAAAUAUGCUCGCGAGAGAAAGGCACAUUAGAUAUUGUCUUUUUAAGGUAUUAUAGCGCACCAUAAAUUUGCAUUAAAUCUUAAAAACACGGAAAAAUAACAUCGAAAGAGACAAGAAAAGAUUGGUCGAAGUGAUCGGUGUUUUCUUUCCAGGGUGAUUUGAUCGAUAAACUUUCCUUUGUAUCCAGAGCGCAUCACCAUCGCACUGCCUUUUGUUAUUUUUCUCCGUAUUAUUUUUGUCACUUCAUCUUUCCUAGGUAGAGUGAAUAAUAUAAACAACGGAUAGCGCGAUCAAGAAUCAUGCGCGACACAUAAGACCAGAGACGCGCGCGCCCUUUCUCGAAAGUCGCCUUCGGGCAAAGUUCGCCGCCGAUUUAACGGAAAGAUUCUCAGUUACUCGAGUAGUGCGGCGAUAACAAAUUAUUUAAUUUUCCUUCUUAUAAUCAUCAGAAUAUUGAGAAUCGAUUUGGACCAUUGUCAUCUGGAGAAAAAAUUAUCAGCACGAUACUUAAGCUAUGAAUCAUUCGACUUUUAUUUAAUUAACUUUAUCUAAAAUUAUAUCUUUCAAUUUUUCUCUAAGAGAGAAAAUCAUAAGGACAAUUGUGUGAAUUUUCAGAAGGAUUGCUAUCUGCAGAUAUGGUUAUAUUGUAAAAUUAUCAUAUAUGUAUAAAAAAAAAAUCUUAGUUAAAAAGAUUAAUAUAUAUUAAUAUACAUGUGUAUUAUUUGUCUGUUAAAUUCUUUUCGAAAUUAAAUUUCUGCUGAAAUCACUCGACACCUGGCUAAAAGAGUACACUUUAAAGUUUGUCUUGGAUCAUCAUCGACUUAUCGCAUUAUCAAUCUUCGUUCUUGACAAAAAUCGAUAUUGCACCGCUGUUUGUUGUCGCCGCCUUGAUUCCAUCUCAUGGAAUCGGCUGAAUCGGCGACGUAACGGAGCUCACUUCCGGAUUUGUCGUCCCAAAAUUGAUCGAUUGUUUCUGAGCGAAAUGCGACGGAGAUGAUCUCAACAUCACCUCUCGUGCCGAGUGCUCUAGACUUCUAGCUAGACUGACAAGCGAAAGAGGGAGAGAGAGAAAGAGAAGAGGAAGAGAGAGUUCCGUUCUCUUUAUCGAAACGCUAAUCCGCGUGACGACGACGACGGCGACGUAUCUCACGUGGUACACACGCUCCGAUGAACAAAUAUCGAUCGCCCGAACUCGAGUAAUCACCGUCGUCGCAAUGCAGACUGCACAACACAGAUGCGGCGCGCGCAUUGUACAUAUAAAUAAUUGCAAUUUGUAUAGAGCAGAUAAUAAUAGUAAUAAUAAUAAUUAUAAUAAUUAACGAAUAGGUAAUAAGAAAGAAAGAGGAAGAGUAACAAUAUUAAUCAUUAAUGCCGAUAGCGUAGUAGGAAUUUUCUUCUCUCUUCGGAUGUAUUCAGCGUAGAAAAAAAAAAAAGAAUAAAAUUCUUAUUGUUAGAUAGGAGACGACGACAUCAUUUGCGACACGCCGCCUUUUUUUUCUGUCGUCUUUACUUGCCGCCUCGCAAAAAAAAAAAAAGAAGAAAUAAUAAUUGUCCUUUAUAAAUAAUAGAAAGUGCGCGAGUGAAACGAAUCGUAAGAAUAAUUAGCACUGAUUGUUUGAAUUUGCGAGCUCAGCUCGCAUAGGAAAUGAUAAUAGAGUUGCGAAGAUAAAUAGAGAGAGGAGAUAUGAUGAGAUAUUGAAAAUAAUAUGGAAAUACGGAGUUUUCGCGGCGCAUUUUUUAUAAGAGAAGAACAAGAACGAUAGGCGAAUAUUCGAUCGUUCGCAAGGCUCGAUUCAGAGUAGAUUCACCAAAUGUAAAUUGGACGGAACACUAAGCUUGAUGCGGAGACAGAGAGAGGAUAGGAAUGUGAAUCUAAUUGAGAAAACACGGCUGAAAUUGCACUGGGAGGAAGAGGCAACACCAAAGGAAGCGGGCGCUAAUGACGAGAGUUAACAAAGGUCAUCGCAAUGUACGUCGUCCACACCAGUCACGAGCAAGAUGCAAUUUUUUUCAGGUGCUCUACAAUAGAUCGACAAGAACAAUUGUAAUGUAUAGCAUAGUAAUAAUAGCAAUGGACAGAGGUAUCAAGCACACAAGCGAGGUUGAGUUUGAAAAAGAAAUAGUGAGAAAGAACGAGAGUGAGAGAGAAUGAUAUACAUAAAUAGAUUUAAGGGAAAGCGUCGAAAGAGAAAGUCUUGUAAUUUAUUAUAUUAAAUUUUUAUCGAUCUGUUAACGCCGAGUGCAGAAGAAGAUUAUGAUCAUGAUUUGUCUCGCCAUAUUGGGCGUUGUCGUCGCUACCACCAUCGGCGGAUACUUUGGACUGUGAACGCCAAAACCAGAGAAGUCCAAAGACAGCAGCAUCGUGUACCUAAUUCCGAACCGCCGGCAGUGUCAGCAUUCACUCAUAUUACUCCGAUAUGUGAAGCUGAUCGCCAUUCGGACGAGAGGAGAUCGUCAUUAUCAAAGGUGCCAUCAUCGGCGCGCUUCUAUCGUAACAUUCAUCAUCGCUAGAGCCUUCAAUCUAUCACGCACGCUCCCAAAUUCAAUGCGAAGGAAACUAAAGAGAGGAAGGAUAAUCGCCAUCAUCAUUGUCGUCGUUGUCGUCGUCGUCGUCGUCGUCGUCGUCGUCGUCAUCGUCGUCGUCGUCGUCGUCGUCGUCGUCGUCGUCGUCGUCGUCGUCGUCGUUGUCAUCGUAGUUACGUUUGCGUCAUCCUUGUCUCGAAAGUUUCCUCCGAUAAUAUGUUAGUUGCGUUUGAUUGAAAGAGUGCGAAAAGAAAAGACAGAGAGAGAAAGAGAUAAACCAAAGAAACAGGUUUUGCUUGUUUUUGUAUUAACUCGAUCGACAAUUUUUCCAAUAGAUUCGCCUUUAGCAGUCAAUCCCAGUCCUUCUCUUCUACCCGCUAUGUCACAACGAAGCUUAAGUUCUCUUUGUGUUCACGUCCUAUCGGUCUUUUUUUCUUUCACCCUUUCUCCGCUGAUUCUCUUUUCACGCAGCAAAAACGAGAUAACAGGAGGCUUCGCGAAUGGAACAGGCUCUGAGAAAACAGAGAUGCCUCUGUCUCCCUAGAAAGGGAACCGUUGAUCAGAGAUACGCACGCAUCGUUGAUCAAGUGACAUUUUCGAUCGCUCCCCUUCCCCAUUCCCAUUCCGCGGAUAUCCUCGCCGAUUGUCACGAAGACAUGUCUGAUAUCAUGAAAUGCCGUUAUCGCCGGAAACACGGUGGUGCGUCAUCCUUCACGGUAUCCGCCUCGUUGCAGCCCGAGCUCGACAACCAAUGGUGUUUUUUUGUGUAACGCGAAGGUGACAAGUGGUACGUGCUGCUCGCUUUUCCCUCACCGAAAGUAUCAGCGCACGAAAAAAUGACGCAGGAAAAACCAUUCUCCUUUACUGUGAUUUGAACAUUGGAAAUUUUUGAACGAAUGUCACUUCGGAGUCACAUUCUGAAAACUUUUCGCUCGCCAAUCCGAUCUCUUAUAUCUGCUUAUAUACACGAGAGAUAAACCGCUGACCAAAACAUUUGUACACGCGAUAUCCAGAUACUAGAUCGUAAUUUUCGCGCGCUAAUAAGUCACGAGAUUACGUUAAUAGAGAUUACUAAAUAAAUAUAGUACUAAUUUAUAUAUUAAUAUUUAGGAUAAUUUCUAGCGAUUUCUAUGGUACUGUUCCAAGCUUUAAAUAAAUUUUUGUAAACUCUUUUCUUCAGAUAGAAAAAAAUUUAGCGCGGGUAAACCGUUUUUAUCAAAAAGAAAAAACAGCGGAUAUUACUCAAGCACGACAAUUAGCACAUCUGCUAAUUGUUAUUAAAUAUCUCGACCAGCGGUUUAACCCUCGGCUUAAACAUAUCACGCUUACUUUGAGCAACGUUUUCGACAUCUCUACACUACACCUCUCUGUAUCUGGACGAUCGUGAGAAAUCGGCUAGGUGAUGUUUCUCCACCACAGAAAGCAACGGAUCACGAAGUGUCAAAUUUAUUGCUCGAGAAGCGCCGUAGCUUAGGGUAGAUUGCACUAGUAUUGGUUAACCACGAUUCGUGAAAUUCUUUUUUCACGCACGUAAAAGACAGCAAUGCAUUUAAUAAUGUACAGUUAGAGGCUUUAGAGAGUCUAUAUAAUGUAAUUAAUUAAGCAUUCCUUCUCUUUUUACACUUCUCUUAUUACUCGCCAAUCAGAUAUUAGUUAACCAAUAUUGCUGGUGCAACCAGCCCUCGAUUUAUUUACGAUGAUAAAGAUAUCGACAUGUGAGCAAUGUGAUUUUUAUAACGGGUAAUUUAAUAGAGAUAAAAAAAAGAUACGUUACAUACAUUCUCGUUUAUAAUAAUAACGGCUCAUACGAGAAGGCAUUUCGACCAAUAGGUGUUCAGUGAAAGAAACAAUCAAUUCUUCCAGUAUUUCUAUUUAGCUGUAAUUAGCGGAAUAUCAAUCGCGAUAUAGCGAGGUGUAGAUAAAGUAAUUGUGUCUUUCUAUGGGCAUGACGCGAGACGGUCUUUUUUCCUUUCAGAAUGUGACUGAAAGAAGCGACAACGAUUGUCCAAGCGCGCGUCACAAAUAUUGAAAGUAGACUUAAUUGCGCUUAUAGAUAUAUAGAUUCGUUUCGCUUCUAGUCGAUUUAUUAAUUUUUUUCACCGAAUCGAUAGAUUUACGAUCUUCGUGUUGCACAAUACGCCAUUAACUAUUGGGUGCGACGAUCAUAAUAGAUCUUCGAUCGCAAUUCGCGCGCCUUGAAUGACAGUUGUUUCGCGUCUUCUGUAAUCUCGAUGAACCCUCGGCAAAAUUAAUAUCCUGUCCAUUAUUUCCUCGAACAUUCGAUAAGUAUAGUUUCUCUAUUUCGCAAGUUUUAGAAAUUUGCACGAUUGUACAGAUGAUUGAUUUAAUUUUAAAAAUUUACAACCAAUAGAAAUUAUUUGUAAUCUCACUUUUCGUCAAUUUUACAUAUUUUUUCUUUUGCUAUUUAACAUGUGGAUCUUGAAACCGCGCAGACUAUUUUUCGUUGCUUUGCGAGAUCAACGUUGUGUAUAAAAUAUUACGAGGUAUAUAAUAUAAUUUAUAAUAUUUUUUUUCUAUGCAAUUUUCUCAAAAUUUGUCUCAAAUUAUAUAAGGGUUCUCGAAAUCGAAUGUGCGAAAAAUGUAUCAUCGUCGAGACGAUUAACCCCAAGGACAAAGCAAGAAAAGAUAUGAUAAAUGGAGAAGGUAACAAAUAGUGAAAGAUAGUGCGACUGUACGUAUAUGUGUGUGUAUGUUGUGUGUGUACGUGUGAGUGUGUGUGAAAGAGAGAGAGAGAGAGAGAGAGAGAGACAUAAAGGAGCCAUUAAGCUGCAGCAAUAAUAUAAUAUAUAGGUGUGUUAUGGAAAAAUAAUUAAAAGAUAUAAUCUCAUUGGGGCGGAAUGAGUAGGAAUGAGUUCAAUGCGAUGAACGAUAUUGUAUGUACACGGCAUGUAUACAUAUAUACAUAUUAAAAAAUAUAUAUAUAGCUAGAUAGAUAGAUAGAGAGAAAAAGGAAGAAAUGUCAUGUGAUCGAGGAGAGAGAAAAACAAUAUUAAUAACGACAAUUAUAUCGGCAGCCUAUUAUAUGUAUUGCUCCUCGAUAGAUUAAUGUAUCGGGUGUUGGCGGCGUUAAUGUUAAUGUUUUGUUGAGUAUAUUAUAAUUAUUACGAACGUUGAGGUGCAUACAUUCUAGAAAAGAUUAUGGGUUGAUGUUUAAAGCAAAGAGGAAGAAGUAGAAAAUGAAGAGAGAAUGAGAUAUAACGGAGAUGAACGAUUACGAUUUAUGCAACGCACGUUUUAAAUCAUGCGUCGCUGUAAUAAUUAACAUUAAAUAAUAAUUAAGAAAAUAUUAAGAUCACACCUUGCAUUGUACAGAAAGCAUUAUAAUAAUUGUUAGUUUAGGUAGAGAGCAAGCAUUACGAUCUACUUAUCUAAUUAUAAUCCACAAUACGACUAAGAUGACUAAAAUUUAAUCGCGUAAUCCCUCUGUCACGAGUUACGACGGUCGUCGAUAUAUACAUAUAUAUAUAUAUAUAUAUAGAUACACUAUUCUCUCUGAUAUAUUUAUUAUCUGGUUAAUCAAUGGAUUUCGUUGAAGAGAGGAUGUCUUUGCAUUUGUUUGUAUCGUUGAAAAGUUUCACGUUACUCACAAGAAAAGAAGGAAAGAUCCUCUUUCAGUCAAGUUGGGGAAAAUAUAGAAGCUAUGUAUAAAAAUCGCGCGGACGCGAAAGCGUGCCCUUCUUGUUUCAAGCUACAAUUCCACCUCUUUCGCGUUAUAUUUUCCUUGCGCUUCAUCGAAUCGCCUAACUUAUUAUUAGCUUAACCGCGUGAAAUCACACACGAGAAAGAAACAUUUUUUUUUUUCUUAUCCUUUUCUAUCAUUUAAUCCUAAUAGAUUUUUAGCGCGGUCCUAUCUCUCUUGCAUGUGAUUGCUUUAUUUUAUAAAUCAUAUAUCAUUUUUCCGUAACAGAUCGUCGUGACGAGAAGUCUGUUUUUUUCCGAACUACUCGGUAUAAAUCCCACUAAAUCCGCAACACGGACGUAUCUCCUCCGACGCGCAAUCUCGUAUCUCGUAACAUUAGCUUUAUAGCGAACUCUUCGUGGUAGGAAUUGAAUAAACCUAUCGUCGUCAAUUUCUUAUUACUAGAUGAAAGGAAGGAAAGAGAUUCUAUACGAGUAACAUUGUAGUCUUAUCGGUGCACAACAACCGAUUGUACGUUUAAACGAAUCUGGCCUAAAGAUGUAAAGGAACAUUGUUCGCGCCUCUACGUUAUUAUUGAUCAAUUGAUCGAUAUUAUCUCGUCUACCUUUGUCAUUCGGGAUCAUCCGAAUUUUUCAAAUCAAAGUCGGACGUCCCGACGUCUAUCCCAAUCUCGUUUAGUCUUUUCGACUUCAAUCGCUUUUGAUCUCGCUCGUUUUAGCAUUCAGAAUCCUUUCAUUUCGCGCUCGCGAUUUCGUCGUCGCGUCACAUCGUCAGUUGAGACGCAAGAAAGCAAAAAAUGGAGCAGGCGAACCCCGCAGUAUUGGCAGAGUUCUGUCCUUCGUAUUCUAGGAUCGUGACAUUGGUCGGCUUUUAACGUCGCGAAUGUACGAAACGUUCCGCGUUUCGCGUACAUUUUUCUCGCGAGCAUCACAAUUAGGUAGCUAAUCGCGGAAGUUAACUCGUCUUCCUUCCUAAGAAUCUCUAUGUCCCGAGAGCGUAAGCUGCUUGCUCGUGUCGACGUAUGAGCUAUGAGAAACAUAACGAACAUAAUAAGCCCGAUCACACAAUUUUCGUGUUCUCGAUUAUAUUUAUUCGUCGCGAUUAGCUAGAGUUAUAUAUACGCGGGAAUUCAGGUAGAAAGAAAGAAAGAAAGAGAAAGAGGAAGGGAAGAAACUGGAAGGACAUCGUUUAAUCAUUAAAUAAGCUAUUUUAUUGCAUUUGUACGUAGAAUAGGAUAGAAAAAGAUUGCAGAUCGAUCCAAGAAUCUUCGAACACGCGAUCCAUUUGCGGAUGUAUUAUAGACACACGCGCGGAAGUGGAAGAGAAAGAAGGUAGAUAUUGACACGUGUGAUCAAAAUGGAUCGAUCUGAACAUCCGUGAACACGUGGAUUGAUGUCAUGUCGGUGCAAUUAUUAAAUACGAAACAGGCUACUUUAAUAACCUUAUGAGUGUCAAUUCCAAUUUCAAGUGUAAAUCGUAAUUUUGCGAGAGAGUUUUAAGAGAAAAGAACAAAAAUAAAUGAAAAACAAAGAGUUGAUACGGCGUCAAACGAUGAAGGGAGGAGAAGAAUCUUAAACGAUUUUAACAUAAAAAAUAAGAGUCGCGCGCGCGAAAUUCCGAUGACGCGCGGCAAAGUGAGAUUAUUGAUAAACUUAAUUUAUCGAAACUGAAAAAAAAAAAUAUUAGGAACGAAAGGGAGAGAGAGAAUGUGUGUGCGAAAGAAAGAGCGAACGAGAAGUAUAUAUAUAUGUUAAAAAAAAAAACGAAAAUAAAAAUCGUAGCAUGUGCAGGAGAGUAAGAGAGAGAGAGAGAGAGAGAGAGAGAGAGAGAGAGAGAGAUAAUGGAUACUUUUUAUCAUAGAUAUUUCAUAUAGACGAGAAAUCAUAAAAAUAAUAAAAAAAGCAUAUUGUAUUAACAAGAAUACUUACUGAAGGCAACUCUAAGUCAACGGUGUUUUUUCUGCCUAUAACGUAUAACCAGCAUCUUGCGUUCGCUUUUGUGAGCGAGCGUAUAACUUCUUUCUCCAUGUAGAAGAAACUCUAAAUACUGAAUGAAAAGCCGAGAGAAGGAGCAAAGCAAAGCAGACGCGUCGAUAAAAUCAGGCAUCCUUGCGUUCUUGUCUCUAAUUAACGAUUAUCUACUAUUACUACUAUUACUAUUAUCAUCUAUUAUAUUAUCAUCAUCAUCAUUGACACUGUACAAAGAUGGCAAUAAUUUUAAGAGAUUCCUCCCCUGAAACACAUCCUUUCUCGUGUAAUCAUACAUUCGCUCGAGAACGAGCGAGAUGGAACGACUCCGUUUCGUUUCGUUGCUCCGAAUGAACCUGCCCUUCCGGCCCUAUAGCCAGGAUAAACCCUACGAGUCGGAGAGAAUAAGGCCAACGACAUCCGACCAACAGAAAAUGUCCAAGAAAUGUCCGGAAGGCUUGUUGAUACGCGAAUGAUUCGUGCUGUAUUCAGUUUUUUCUUACGCGAUUACACAUUAAUUGUUCAGUAAACAGAAAGAAUUGGAAUCUAAAAAGAUACAAAAUAAGAAGCAAUAAAAAUAAAAUUAAACAGAAUAUAUAUAAGAAAUAUAUUUAAUUUACUGUAGAAAGAAAGAGCAAGUUUUUGUUUUAUUUAAAAAUCUAUUUCAUCAAUUGAUCGUGUUUGAAAAUAUCAUCAAAUUUAAAAAAAAAAGAUAGGUUUUUGCAAAGGGAAAUAAUUAUUUGAUAAGGAAGAACGGUGCAAUUUUAUCGACAUGUUUAUAUAUUAUUGUGAUUUCAUUGAACGAUAGUGCAAAUUAUCAGUUUACAUAUAAAUAAUAAUUUUAUUUUGUUUAUUUUUUUAAUUUUUCCAAGCUGGUAGGAUAUAUAAAUAGAUUAUUCACAUUCAAAUUAUAUAUAUGAUCUUAAAGAAUUUUUUUUUCACGCGACUAUUCAAAAUUAAAAAACAAUUUAAUCAAUUAAAAUUAUUUUUAUACAAAUUUCAUCAAAUUUAAAGUAGCAUCUCGGUUAAUUUUGAUCUAACUAAUUAUUUAUAUCUGUUUUCGGCACUAUAAUUAGAGAGGAAGAACCGCAAUGAUCGAUUAGAUCAGAUAUAAAAUUGAAGUUGGUAAAAAUCGGUAUUUCUUGGACUUUUGGGUUGUUCAGGUGCAGCGGCGAUAAAUUCAGUAGUGAUAAUAUGUGAUCAAGUGAAUGUGUGCCCUUUCGUCGUGUAAUCAAGCACAAAGGAAAAAUCUCUGUGAGCGGCAGGCCUCUAACCGUGCGUUCGGUGAAAAAUUUCAACUGCUUUCGGGAACAUCUACAUCUGUGAAAAACUAAUCUCUCGUACGCUUAUUGCUUCUGAAAUACGGUUUUUGCGAUGAAUAGAACUAGUAUCGUUUUUAUUAUUUUACCGUGUGUACGGCAAUUUCACAAAUGAUAUAAAAGAAAAUUUAUUGCAAAAAAAUCUCCGAUGUGCCGAAUACAGUUGGAAAUCGCCGGAGCGUCACGAAGAAUAAAUUAGAAAAAUAAAAGAAAAUUGUUUCGAUCGGACACGAAGCGGCGAUUCGUAUCAAAAAGAGCAAUUUCUGACCUCAAAGUUGCGAGCUCAAAAGAUCGAAUAAUAAUAUUGAAUAUAAUAUCAAAGAGAAUUUAUAUUGUGUGUACGAAGAAAUGAAAUAUGAAAAACAAUUUUAAAAAUAAGACACCUGAAAGAAAUUGAGACAUCUAAAAAAAAUUAAUACAUCUAAAGUAUUUAAAAAAAUGGACGCUUAAAAGAUUAUGGAAAAUUGGAUGAUCUUAAAAAUUAAACCAUCUAAAAUAUAAAGAGAUUGCCUUAUUCUGGAAAUAAUUCUCUGAUAUGAUUGAUUCUUGCGGGCAAAUUAAUCAAUUUUUAAUUUUUGAGACAUGACUUCUCCGCUCUUUUCGACGCGAAUCGUCAGCUUUCAUUCGUG